rnacentral:rRNA from 1 species
CGCGUAGGCGGUGCGGUAAGUCACCUGUGAAACCUCCGGGCUCAACUCGGAGCCUGCAGGCGAAACUGCCGUGCUGGAGUGUGGGAGGGGUGCGUGGAAUUCCCGGUGUAGCAGUGAAAUGCGUAGAUAUCGGGAGGAACACCUGUGGCGAAAGCGGCGCAUUGGACCACAACUGACGCUGAGGCGCGAAAGCUAGGGGAGCAAACAGGAUUAGAUACCCUGGUAGUCCUAGCCCUAAACGAUGGAUGCUUGGUGUAGCCGGUACCCAAUCCGGCUGUGCCGCAGCUAACGCGAUAAGCAUCCCGCCUGGGGAUACGGUCGCAAGGCUGAA